UACGGGGGGGGCAAGCGUUGUUCGGAAUUAUUGGGCGUAAAGCGCGCGUAGGCGGCUUGGCAAGUCGGAUGUGAAAUCCCUCGGCUCAACCAAGGAAGUGCAUCCGAAACUGCUGAGCUUGAGUACUUAAGAGGAUCGCGGAAUUCCCGGUGUAGAGGUGAAAUGCGUAGAGAUCCGGAGGAACACCGAAGGCGAAGGCAGUGUCCUGGGGAGUACCUGACGCUCAGGUGCGAAAGCCAGGGGAGCGAACGGG
rnacentral:rRNA from 1 species